rnacentral:lncRNA from 1 species
UGAGACCAAGCCUAUCUGACGGGUGGUCCAUGAAUCAAUGGAACUAUCUGAGUUCCUCACUGAGAUAGAUGACUAUAUCUGACAGUGCUAAUUUUUAAAGAUUGAUACUAAAACUAUAACUGUGGGAAGUAAUCACUUAACUGAUAUACCCUAAAUCUCAAUUGGUGGGGUCCAACCUAUAACCCCAACUGAAAGGGUUUCAAUACCGUACCACAGGUAAAGACCUCUCUGGUAAAGCCUAUCUGA